GGAAUCUUCCACAAUGGACGAAAGUCUGAUGGAGCAACGCCGCGUGAGUGAAGAAGGGUUUCGGCUCGUAAAACUCUGUUGUUAAAGAAGAACAUAUCUGAGAGUAACUGUUCAGGUAUUGACGGUAUUUAACCAGAAAGCCACAGCUAACUACGUGCCAG
rnacentral:rRNA from 1 species